UAGAAAUUGCAUCUGGCAGAGAAUAGAAAGAAAAAAGUAAAGGAAUCGCCAUGAAAAUGGUUGGUUAAGCAGGAGAGCAAUACACAGAUAUAAGAAUCAAUUAAUCUUCCUCAAGAUCUAAUCAUAGAGAUUCUCGCGAAGUUGCCGUCGAAAUCCCUAGCCAAACUCAUCGUCGUCUCGAAUCUAUGGUCUUCUACAUUCCGCAGCAAAUAUUUCAUCGAUCUGUACUUGAAACGAUCUCUGACUCGUCCAUGUUUUCUUUUCUCAAUAAUUCAAAGCAACAUCUGGUUCUUUCACUCAAUCUCUCAAGAGGCAAUUUUUGAGGAAGCAUCACUGUUUUCUUACACAACUACAUCAAGCUUUCCUCUUAGUCUUGAUAUACG